rnacentral:rRNA from 1 species
UCGAGAAUCAUUCACAAUGGGGGAAACCCUGAUGGUGCGACGCCGCGUGGGGGAAGAAGGUCUUCGGAUCGUAAACCCCUGUCAUGUGGGAGCAAGCAGCGAUGUAGAUAGUACCACAAGAGGAAGAGACGGCUAACUCUGUGCCAGCAGCCGCGGUAAUACGUAGGUGGCAAGCGUUGUCCGGAAUUACUGGGUGUAAAGGGAGCGUAGGCGGGGUGGCAAGUUGGAUGUGAAAUACCGCAGCUUAACUGCGGGGCUGCAUCCAAAACUGCUGCUCUUGAGUGAAGUAGAGGCAGGCGGAAUUCCUAGUGUAGCGGUGAAAUGCGUAAAUAUUAGGAGGAACACCAGUGGCGAAGGCGACUUACUGGACGAUAACUGACGCUGAGGCUCGAAAGCGUGGGGAGCAAACA